UACAUGAUAUCCGCAAUCGUCUCGGCGGU
rnacentral:sRNA from 1 species